GGCGGGGCGACGGCGGGGGCGGAGCCAACGGGGGCGUGUGUGAGACCUAAGAGCGAAUGUGUGUGUGCGCGCGCGUUUGUGAGACUGUGUGUAGGACAAUGUACGUUGAGAGACUGUAUGUAUGUGUGUGAGAUUGUAUGUGGAGAGUGUGUGUAUGAGAUUGUGUGUGUGUGUGAGACUGUUGUGUGAGAGUGAUUAUGUACAUAACAGAUUUUAAGAGAUUGUGUGUGUGAAAGUGUUAGAAAAGGAGUGUGUGAGAGAGACUGUGUGUAUGUAAGAAAGUGUGUUUGUGAGGGAGAGAGGAGAGCAUGUGUACUGGGGUGUGUGUGUGAUACACAGUUACACCCCAGCGGGGUACCUCUGUUCUUCCCUGGCACGGGGGCUGUGCCUGGGUGUGCAGCUGGAUGCCUGCCUGAGUAGCCGUCCAUCCUUUGCAAAGAGAGACACAGUCAGAGAGGGAACACAAGCAGGGGGAGUGGGAGAGGGAGAAGCAGGCUUCCCGCGGAGCAAGGAGCCUGAUGCGGGACUUGAUCCCAGGACCACGGGAUCGUGACCUGAGCCGAAGGCAGACGCUUAACCGACUGAGCCACUCAGGAGCCCCGAGACUGUCCUUUUUUCAUUUGUUGUGACGGGGACACAGCUGGUCCUGAGAAGGCAUCAUACUCAGACAAGCAUGUGAGAUUGCAUUCAUUCCUGUUGUGAAAGCCCUGAAUUUCAGCUAGAACAUGUCUGCCCAGAAUAAAGGCUUCAUUUCACAGCCCGCAUUGCAGGAAAUUUCACAAGCAUGAAGAGUGCCCCCUCCUCUGCCAGUGUUUCAGUAUAUCUCAGCGACCUUGUAACAGCAGCACGUGCCCUCAUGACCACAUGGUCUGAUUGCCAUCACGGCCUCCCAACAGGACGCCCAGCAGGGCUUCUGCAUUGCUUGCAGCUCGUGUGGAAUGCAGUAGCACACCCUCUCGGUGGUGUGAGGCACCAAGAUCGGAUUUCGUGUCUCUCCUCCCCAGUUUGGUUUGGGCUGCCUGGGUGGUGGGUUGACUCUCAGUUGGUUUUGCAGAUUUUUAAUGAGGAGCAAACACUGUCUUGGAGUGGCACAGCUGAGAAGCAGGGGACUGAUGGAAAUUGUUGUUUUUGGCAGAAAUGGUGGCAGGAUCAGGCAUAACAGCUGGUAAGGGUGCACUUAAUGUGGGAGGAAAAAAAAAAAGUAUCUCCUCACUGCAAAACUCAUCAUUGCGUUUGUGAACCUUCAGUCAACAGCUCUGAUUUCAAAGUCAUAUGUCUUGCAAAUUACUGAAUUUGGAAUUAUUGCUGCUAAGGAUCUAAAAGAUUCCUGUUACAGUAAACUAUAUUAGUAGCUCCUCAGCAUCUCUCCUGGAUUUUUGUUUUGUGUCAUGUUAUCAUUAAGGUAAACCACUUAGGCAUCUAUCUCUCUGUUCUUCCAUCAGUAAUGGGUAUUUGUUAUAGACUUAUCAUUUGCCCUUCAGAUGAUAGAAAAUUUAAUUAAACACAGCCCCUAUCCUUCAACACUUAUAAUCUUGCAAGUGAGGAAAAACAUCUGUAAAUAACUAUGCAAAAAUGAGAUGGCAUAUAAAGGAUUAUGGAAGUUAAGAUGAACAAAGGGAUUUUUUCUAUCUAGAAGGAUUGGGAAAAGCUUUAAGACUGAGAUAGUAUCUGAGUUUAGCCUUGAACAAUGAGUAGAAGUUAGAAACACAGACACAGGGAAGAGACAUCUCAACCGGGGGAAAUGGCUGAGCAAAGACAAGGGGACUAUACAAGAAGUACAUAGCACUUUGCUUUUGCUAGAAUGUCUAAAGUGAGCAUUGAGAGAUAACAUUGAGAAGGUAGAUUGCAGUUAUAUAUUGGUGGGCCUUAAAAGCUAGUUGGAAAAAAAAAAAAGCGACAACGUAUGUGUGAGAAGUUGUCAAAAUUUUUUAAACAGAUUUAGGUAGCUCAAUCUUUUAGAAAACUGUGGACUAUUCAUUAAUUGCUUAUUAAUCUUAGAAAGCAUGUGCUUAUACUGAAUAUAUUUUUUGUUUGCCUUUACAAAUCUGGGCAUAUAAUAAAACUGUAUUUUAGUUUCAGUAACUACUAAAAAGGAAUUUAAGAUAACGUGGAGAGAAAUGGCAGUGAAAUUUAUACUUUUCCUCUAUUUAAACAAAACUUUUGCCAAGCACACGAAUACUACAAAGGAGGACCUGGUGAGGCAGACAACUCAUGAGGAAAUAAGAACAUAUGUUAUAAUAGAAUUUCUGCUGCUCAAUAAGGGACGGCAGUUCCUUUGUUUGUAAGACGAUGUCUUGCGUGUGUGUUUGCGUACAUAAAUCCUUCCAAAUUUGUUUGUGUCUAAGAUUUUAUUUUAUUUUAUUUUUUUAAAGAUUUAUUUAUUUAUUUGACAGAGAGAGGGAACACAAGAGGGAGUGGGAGAGGGAGAAGCAGGCUUCCUGAGGAGCAGGGAGCCCAAUGCGGGGCUCCAUGCGGGGCUCCAUGCGGGGCUUGAUCCCAGGAGCCUGGGAUCAUGACCUGAGCUGAAGGCAGACACUUAAUGACUGAGCCACCCACGUGCCCCAUUUUUGCGUCUAAGAUUUUAGAAAAAUGCUUAAGCUUUGUAAAAGAAGAUAUUAUCUUUAAGCAUUUUAAGGAUUUCAGAAAUACCAGUCAUUCAUAUAUUCAGAAUCUGUCAUUUAGAAACGAUUUUUAUACUUUCAUCUAUCAAAGCUGAUGGGCAUCAGCUAGGUAGUACUUUAUUAGUCCCCAUCCAGUUAACAGUUUUUCGGAGUAAAUCACUGAGUUUGCAUGAGGAAUUCACUGCAAUGCACAACCGCCGUUAUUCAUACUGAAACGCUCCUCACUAGUCCCUCUCAGUGCCAUUUUGUGGGUUUCUCUUCAAGUGAGGGUAACUUUUACUAACGUAUAAAAUACUCAAAGAGUUAAGAAAAUGUCGUAAAAUCACCCAGUAGUUUUUAGGGAGGCAGGACUUCAGUUUUAUAUUUAUUAGAAAAAAGAAUGGGUCGUGAAACAUCACAGUAUGUGUCCUCGCAUUCUCCAUGGGAACUUACUUGUUUAACUGUGAUUCAGAGGGGGAGAAUACAAUCUGGUAAAAACUAUAUUUUCUUUAGCAGCUCCCUUUGUGGGAGUACACUAAUUUCCUUCCACCCAACUUGUAAAAUUAAUGAAAUGCCUUUCAGAACCGGGUUGCCAAAUAUCUUUUUCUCUUGAGGUUUCUACUUGGUUGAUAAAUGCAUGAUGCACAUUCUUAAAAAUACCUUUUUGUGCCAAUUUUAGAGUACUAUAAAAUGGAAAGAAUAUUUAACUAUUUAUGUGCAAAGAACCUAUGAACUACUCUGAUUUUUAUAGUGAUUGAGGUAUACAAGGAAAAAUACAUAAGGUAUAAAUCUUUCUUGCUAUAUCUUAUUUUCUGUUUUCUAGAUGAGCCUUAAAACAUUUCUAUUGGCAGAUACAAAAUUCAAUGGCAACAUCAUUAACUUUUUUAAUUUAAAAAGCAUUUAAAAUAUCUUGGUAUUUUUUAUUUAAAAAUAAAACUCACUAUUUAUUUGAUAUAACCAUUCCUUAUUUUUUUCUAAAAUGCCCAAUUAAGAAUUACUGCUCUAAUCCAAAAGACCUUAUGUUUAGGGAUGAUUCCACAUGUUCACAUUAAGUUGAUUUUCCAUUUUAAUUUACAAAAUUGGGAAUUUUCGUAUUUUUUUCUGUGCAGCAGUUCUCAACUAGGGGAAAUUUUGCUGCCCUCCUCCACCUUCGCAUUUGACAAUGUUUGGAGACAUUGCUUGUCACAGGUUGGGGAGUCACAUCUAGUGAGCAGAGACUAGAGAUGAUGCUAAACAUCCUGUAAUGCAUGAAAAUUCUUCAACAAUUAUCUGAUGCAAAAUGUCAAUAGUGCCAGGAUUGAGAAACCUUGGAAUAGAGCAGAAAUAACUGGAUUAUCCAUACCUAUCAUGAGCUUGUAUUCCUGAAAUUAGAUAGAAAAACUAUUGGUCCCCCCUCCACUGUUGAACUCUGAAUCAGGAAUAUAAAAUCUAUAUCAACUAGGAGAGGAGGAAAGAAAUUAAAAAGAUAAAACAAGUUAGUUAAAUUAAUUAAAGCUAAUGUACAAUGAAAAG